rnacentral:sRNA from 1 species
CUUAUUCUUGACCUUCAUGUGGAUUGUAUCUUAGGUUAUUCAAGAUUUUGGACUAAUACCAACUUAUGAGUUGUCUCUCGAAUUAGCUUUUCUUCCUCUCUCUGAAGUGGCAUGACCUUCCUGCAAGCUUGUGUGUUAGCAAUCCUGUAGACCUGCUUUCUUUCAGCUUGAUUUGGAAAUAUGUGUUUGUGUCUCCUGAAGCCUCCAGUUUUUUGCAAGAUGCUUAAGCUGUGAUAUUCAGCUUCUCGUCUGAACAUAAAAUAAUGCAACCUUAUACAGAUUCUGCUCCACACAUCUUCCCGUUCUUCUCUGAGAAAGGUGAACCCCCACUUGAUAGUAUCCAGCUGAUUCCAACUUAUAGUGAAAUAAGUAGAACAAAUCCCAGUGUUAUACUUUCAAUGAUUUUUUAAAGAAGAAUUUGUCAUCAACACAAAUUGUGAAAUUCAACAGAUUCAAGGGCCACUGUCAUCAAGACUGCCACCCCAUCAUAUUCAUUAUUAACAAGAACCAACUGAUGUGCUCUGUAUUCUAUCCUGCAUCAUAAUCUUGGGUAACUACAUGCUAAAAUUCAUCUUGAAUAUGUUUAAAUCAUCCCCACUGAAAAUCAUGCAUGUGUUGUAUUUGUUUUAUAUUUUUUAAGCAGACAAUAAUUUAAGGGAAUAAAAAUCGACAGACUUGAGAGAUGGUUUGGGAAAGACUAUGAAAUUAAAUCAUGAGUGUCUGAGUUCAGAUGACUUCAUCCAUGCAGAUAGCCAGCCAUAUUGAU